ACCCGAGCCACCGCCGGUCGAGCUUCUUCUUCCUUUUCAUCGCGGACAUCAGAAGCUCGCCGCCACGCGUGCCCUAGCAUUGAGCCUUCUCCGGGCAUCUCUGCCUGAAGCCGCCAUUUUGGAACAGUGGCCCUUGCGAACAACCAACCCUAGCGAGCUCCUCUCGGCUAUCAAGCCACCGAUUACUGCUAAGCCUUCUACCAUCGCCGAAGAGCUACCACCGCUGGAGAUCAAGGCUCCAUCAAGCCAUCCCUUCUGGCAGCAAGGUCUAGUGAAUCAAUCAGGAAACAUCUAAGAUUCAGGUAGCGUUAGAUGAUUUAUGGAUGCUUGGAGAGAUGUCGGCUGCCAGUCCCACGUCACACUCGAGGAUAGUUUUCUGUUUUGCUUUAUUAUUGUUUGGAUGGUAUGUUGAUUUUGUGUAUUUUGCAUUUCAAUGAGUCGAUGUGAAUUUUUGGUGUCUAGUCUGGUGGUUGCAGGCAUUUUUUAGUGUCAUUGUUGGUCUUGUUUUUCGUGUUGUUUGUGUCUUCCGCUGCGUUUACGUUGUGGUGUGUUUCCUCCAGCCGGGUAGGCUUAUUAAACUGCGUGGUUGUGUAUAUAUAUUCCAGCCGUAUGUGGCUGAUGUAUAUUUU